rnacentral:rRNA from 1 species
GAUGAACGCUGGCGACGUGCCUAAUACAUGCAAGUCGAGCGAACAGAUAAGGAGCUUGCUCCUUUGACGAUAGGCGCGCACGGGUGUGUCACAUGUGGGUCACCUCCCUAUAAGACUGGGAUAACUUCGGGAAACCGGAUCUUAUACCGUAUAACAUUUGGAUCCACAUGGUUCUAUAGAGAAAGACGGUUUUGCUAUCACUUAUAGCUGGUCCCGCGCGGUAUUAGUUAGUUGGUAGGGUAACGGCUUACCAGGGCGACGAUACGUAGCCGACCGGAGAGGCGGGUCGGCCACAUGAGAACGUGACCAGGGUCCAGACUACUACGGGAGGGAGCAGAAGGGAACCUUCGGCAAUGGGCGAAAACCUUCCGGAGCAAGCCGGAGUGAGUGAUAAAGGGUUUGGGUUCGUAAAGCCCGGUUACUGGGGAAAAACAAACUUGGAAUGAAAUGUGCACGUCUUGACGGUACCUAAUCAGAAAGCAACGGCUAACUACGUG